rnacentral:lncRNA from 1 species
ACCGGUUUCUCUCCAUUUGAACUGUUGUAUGGGAGACCAGUGCGAGGCCCCCUGGAUCUGCUGAAAGAAGCCUGGGAGGGACCAAAGGCACCGGAGACCCACAGCAUUCUUGCCCAUGUCCUGCAAAUGCGGGAAAAGAUGGAGGAGAUGACAGAGCUGGUCCGGAGCAACCUGGAGCAAGUGCAACACCGCCAGAAGGUCUGGUACGACAAAAAGGCCAGACAAAGAACUCUUCAGCCGGGGCAGAAAGUUCUUCUGCUCCUCCCUACAUCGGAGAACAAGCUACUCGCUCAGUGGCAGGGGCCAUACACCAUUACCCGGAAGGUGGGGCCUGCCACCUAUGAGAUCAACAUGCCUGGCCGGAAGAAACCAAAGCGGGUCUUCCACAUCAACCUGCUUAAAGAGUGGCGGGAGAGAGUUCCCGAGAGCAGUCUACAGCUCAUGGUGCAAGCCGUUGGAGAAGAAGAGGAUACUCCAGAGCAGUUUUUUCCAACUGCUCAACCACUUGCACCUCUUGACCUAGCACACCUUACUCCACAGCAGCAGAGAGAGCUGGAGGCCAUCAUUCCUCCAGGUCUGUGUCGAGAGACACCUGGAGUCACCACCCUAGUGGAACACUUCAUUCCGCUGAAAGAUAGCACACCAGUACGUCAAAGGAUGUACCGAAUCCCAGAGCGUCUUCUGCCUCUACUUAAGGAGGAGGUGGAGGAGAUGCUGUCCCUGGGGGUCAUUAAAAGAUCCCAUAGUGAGUGGAGUAAUCCCGUUGUGCUAGUCCCUAAAAAAGAUGGCAAAAUCCGAUUUUGCAUAGACUUUCGCAAAGUAAAUGCACAAUCACACUUUGAUGCAUACCCAAUGCCCAGGCUGGAAGACCUGAUUGAACGGCUGGGUAAGGCACGCUACAUAACGACCCUGGACCUAUGCAAAGGUUAUUGGCAGGUGCCGCUUGCUGAGCAGGAUCAGCCCUAUACUGCCUUUAGAACACCUCAAGGGUUGUUCCAUUUCCUUGUUAUGCCGUUUGGCCUACAGGGGGCGCCGGCAACCUUUCAGAGACUAAUGGACCGUGUUCUUGAGGGCACGGAGUCCUAUGCUGGAGCGUAC